rnacentral:rRNA from 1 species
UACGUAGGGCGCAAGCGUUGUCCGGAAUUAUUGGGCGUAAAGAGCUCGUAGGCGGCUUGUCACGUCGGGUGUGAAAGCCCGGGGCUUAACCCCGGGUCUGCAUUCGAUACGGGCUGGCUAGAGUGUGGUAGGGGAGAUCGGAAUUCCUGGUGUAGCGGUGAAAUGCGCAGAUAUCAGGAGGAACACCGAUGGCGAAGGCAGAUCUCUGGGCCGUAACUGACGCUGAGGAGCGAAAGCGUGGGGAGCGAACAGG